GCUUUUGGGCCCAUACCCCAACAAUGUCGGUUAAACCCCCUCCUUUACUA
rnacentral:tRNA from 1 species